AAGGCUGGAGCCAAGGAACAAUAAAGGCAAUGUAACUUACUUCAGAGCCAGCUUUCUACUGGAAAGAAGCAGCUCCUGCUGUGUCCCCAUGCUCCUGUGGCUUGGAGCUGGGGGUGCACCCCAGGGAAGAUGCCCAGAACCCUGUGGCUGUGACUGCACACUGUGUCCCCUGCCUGGAGGCAGCCUGGAGGCAAUGCAUGCUCUCAGGCUGUUACUGUGGCAUGAAUAUGCAGAUCUACUGGAACAGAAUAUUUUCACUGCAGAGAAGGCAUGAUGAACGUGAUCCUAAAAGUAACCAUUUUCCAAACUGCAGCACACAAAAAUGCCAAGAGGGGAAUGGGAAGCAAAAGCAGGGCUCAUGGACCACAUGAGCUCACUUCAAGACCUAGUGGCAGAGAGAUGCCCCUCUGUCUAAAGCAUUGCCCUUGGACCACUUGUAGAAGGGGGCCUGGAUUGUACAGUUCUCUUUGGCAGUCAAAGCAAGUCAGAACAGCUGGGGAAGGGCUGCUGUAAGUACGUGUCUGUGGGUACUUACACUGGAACUACUUACAUGCUCAAGCUAAGUUCACCUGCAAAUAUCUGCAGAACUGUGAAUAAUGAAUAUACCUUGUCACAAGCAAUUGAAGCUUAAUAGAGCUUAGUUCCUCUUCCACCCAAGUUCUGCAUUCAGCUUUAUAAUAGACUUUGUUAUACUUUAUGGCAUAUGUUCAGAAUGAGAUGCUUAUAGCUCAGGCGCUGGGUAUGAAUUAUUUUUUCUUUUUAGAUAAAUCAAGUAAAAUUUUGGAAGGAGAAAUACUCUUGCUUAAUGGGUAUUGUUCUCUUUGUCUAAUUUGUAAUAUUAAUGCAAAAUGGCUGUAAAGUGAGUAUAAAUGCGGUUGUCUGAACUGGUAGUUUUGUUCAUUCCUUGUACUGCUGUUAGAUGUUGAAAAUACAUAGUGUGAUAAUAAAUUGUGCUCAAUGCAGUUAUCAAAUGUCA